GACGAACGCUGGCGGCGUGCUUAACACAUGCAAGUCGAACGGAAAGGCCCUGCUUUUGUGGGGUGCUCGAGUGGCGAACGGGUGAGUAACACGUGAGUAACCUGCCCUUGACUUUGGGAUAACUUCAGGAAACUGGGGCUAAUACCGGAUAGGAGCUCCUGCUGCAUGGUGGGGGUUGGAAAGUUUCGGCGGUUGGGGAUGGACUCGCGGCUUAUCAGCUUGUUGGUGGGGUAGUGGCUUACCAAGGCUUUGACGGGUAGCCGGCCUGAGAGGGUGACCGGCCACAUUGGGACUGGGAUCCGGCCCAGACUCCUACGGGAGGCAGCAGUGGGGAAUAUUGCACAAUGGGCGGAAGCCUGAUGCGGCAACGCCGCGUGCGGGAUGACGGCCUUCGGGUUGUAAACCGCGUUCGCCGGUGACGAGGCGUGAGUGACGGUAAUGGGUAAAGAAGCACCGGCUAACUACGUG
rnacentral:rRNA from 1 species